AUAAUAAUAGUAUAAAGAGUAUUUCUGUCUUCCAAACAGAGGGUUCAUGUCUGAUUAUUAUA
rnacentral:tRNA from 1 species